CAUAUGCCAUAGGUUGGCCACCACUGCUCUGGGGUACUGUGGUAGAGAUCACUGGAACAUAGAGAACUUGAUCACUCCAAACAAG
rnacentral:lncRNA from 1 species